rnacentral:lncRNA from 1 species
GCGGUGAUGUAGUCACUGAGAACAUCGGAUGCCUUUGUUAACGGCGUACACGGCGGAGCGGAAGGCGUUGGCGUCAGGUGCGUGGAGGCGCGUGAGAGCAGAGGCUUUGACAGAAUCGGGUAAUGAGAGACCAAGGAGGGAAGAAGAGGCGCGGGAAUGAGCAAUGUGAAGUAUGGCAACUCCGGUGAAUGAACCGUCUCCCAGGACAAAUUGAGACUUCUGAGUUGUGCGUUCCGUUCACUAUGCAAUGCUGCGUCUGACAUUUUCGACUCUUCGGUUGGAGUGAAUAAUACUUCAAC